GAUGAACGCUGGCGGCGUGCCUAAUACAUGCAAGUCGAGCGAACGGACGAGAAGCUUGCUUCUCUGAUGUUAGCGGCGGACGGGUGAGUAACACGUGGAUAACCUACCUAUAAGACUGGGAUAACUUCGGGAAACCGGAGCUAAUACCGGAUAAUAUUUUGAACCGCAUGGUUCAAAAGUGAAAGACGGUCUUGCUGUCACUUAUAGAUGGAUCCGCGCUGCAUUAGCUAGUUGGUAAGGUAACGGCUUCCCAAGGCAACGAUUCAUAGCCGACCUGAGAGGAUGACCGGCCACACUGGAACUGAGACACGGUCCAGACUCCUACGGGAGGCAGCAGUAGGGAAUCUUCCGCAAUGGGCGAAAGCCUGACGGAGCAACGCCGCGUGAGUGAUGAAGGUCUUCGGAUCGUAAAACUCUGUUAUUAGGGAAGAACAUAUGUGUAAGUAACUGUGCACAUAUUGACGUUACCUAAUCAGAAAGCCACGGCUAACUACGUG
rnacentral:rRNA from 1 species